GUGCUUAACACAUGCAAGUCGUGGGAGCCUCGCAAGAGGCGACCGGCGAACGGGUGCGUAACACGUGAGCGACCUUCCGAUUUGUGGGGGAUAGCCGGCCCAACGGCCGGGUAAUACCGCAUACGCCAAACGGGCUGCAUGGCCUGUUUGGGAAACCUCCGGGGCAAAUCGAGGGGCUCGCGGCCUAUCAGCUAGUUGGCGGGGUAAUGGCCCACCAAGGCGAUGACGGGUAGCUGGCCUGAGAGGAUGGCCAGCCACAUUGGGACUGAGAAACGGCCCAG
rnacentral:rRNA from 1 species